rnacentral:rRNA from 1 species
GACGAACGCUGGCGGCGUGCUUAACACAUGCAAGUCGAACGGAAAGGCCCUGCUUUUGUGGGGUGCUCGAGUGGCGAACGGGUGAGUAACACGUGAGUAACCUGCCCUUGACUUUGGGAUAACUUCAGGAAACUGGGGCUAAUACCGGAUAGGAGCUCCUGCUGCAUGGUGGGGGUUGGAAAGUUUCGGCGGUUGGGGAUGGACUCGCGGCUUAUCAGCUUGUUGGUGGGGUAGUGGCUUACCAAGGGUUUGACGGGUAGCCGGCCUGAGAGGGUGACCGGCCACAUUGGGACUGAGAUACGGCCCAGACUCCUACGGGAGGCAGCAGUGGGGAAUAUUGCGCAAUGGGCGGAAGCCUGAUGCAGCAACGCCGCGUGCGGGAUGACGGCCUUCGGGUUGUAAACCGCUUUCGCCUGUGACGAAGCGUGAGUGACGGUAAUGGGUAAAGAAGCACCGGCUAACUACGUG